UCUCCGUUGGUGAACCAGCGGAGGGAUCAUUACCGAGUUUACAACUCCCAAACCCCUGUGAACAUACCAUUUGUUGCCUCGGCGGUGCCUGCUUCGGCAGCCCGCCAGAGGACCCAAACCCUUGAUUUUAUACAGUAUCUUCUGAGUAAAUGAUUAAAUAAAUCAAAACUUUCAACGACGGAUCUCUUGGUUCUG
rnacentral:misc_RNA from 1 species